ensembl:lncRNA
CUGUAUGUUUCUGGUAGAUCACUAUACAGACAGGAACUGAUUAACAAUUUAAAACUCACCGCUGCUGGUCCCUCGUCUUCACUGUCGGAUGAAGAAUCACUGCUAUCAACAGAAUCCUUACUAGCUGGAGUCUUGUUUGGAGUAGGAGCAAUCACUGGUUUAACUGGAGUAGCCAAGGGGGCUUUCUUCUUGGCUGUUGAUGUUGCUUUCUGUGGCAUCGCUGAUGGAACUUUAGGUGUUGUAGCCUGUGGACUUUCCUCUUCGCUGUCUGUAGAACCACUACUGUCACUAGAAGACUCUGGUGUUGUAGUCUUGGCUGUGACAGGGGCUGUUGAUGUUGCUUUCUGUGGCAUCGCUGAUGGAACUUUAGGUGUUGUAGCCUGUGGACAUUCCUCUUCGCUGUCUGUAGAACCACUACUGUCACUAGAAGACUCUGGUGUUGUUGUCUUGGCUGUGACAGGGGCUGUUGCCGUGGCCUUGGUUGGAGUGGCAACAGACACUGCUUUAGUCUGUUUCGCAGUUUUAGCUGGUGUUACAACUGUUUUCUAAAUCAGAACCAUAUGAAGAAAGCAGUUAAACACAGCAUAGAUUUUUUUUAAGCUAUGUUUUUGGCAUGUUAUGGUUUAUGAAAUAUAGAGUGGUGAAGGAGAGGGUUUUUUGCUGAAAGAGCAGUGGGAUUCAAACUGAUGCUACAGCAGUAUACGUGCUCCAGAAGCAGCAGCUUACACUGAAGGGACCAACCUAGACAACAAGUGUUUCAAUUCAACCCAGUGUCUUUCUGCUACUGCACUCGCUGCUAUGACUUUCAGUGUUGAAAGUGUGUAUGAAAAGUAAUAAAUGUUCAUAGAUACUAUUUGGGAAUAUAUUACCAAUAAGAGACUAUACACCCAGGAUCUGAUUAACAAUUUAAAACUAUUUAUUUUAAAAAAAUGUUUUGGCUUUAUCAAUGAAUGUGGUUAAAUUGAAUGUGUCCCAAAAAAUGACUACUUUCCAGGGGGUGUACUUUUCAUUUGACUGUAUGUUUCUGGUAGAUCACUAUACAGACAGGAACUGAUUAACAAUUUAAAACUCACCGCUGCUGGUCCCUCGUCUUCACUGUCGGAUGAAGAAUCACUGCUAUCAACAGAAUCCUUACUAGCUGGAGUCUUGUUUGGAGUAGGAGCAAUCACUGGUUUAACUGGAGUAGCCAAGGGGGCUUUCUUCUUGGCUGUUGAUGUUGCUUUCUGUGGCAUCGCUGAUGGAACUUUAGGUGUUGUAGCUGUUGUCUGAAUCAGUGUAAAGACAGAUACAACAGUGAAGAAAUAUUUGAAUAAAACAAAUAGUGAAGAUUAUUUUACACUCGACAGGGACAAACUCUGUAAAACGUAUCACUGCUGGAAUUUCACUUAGUAGACACACUUGUCCAGAGCAACUUACAAUUAGUGACAUUGAAAUCUGUGUUUAUUUAAGAAAAAAAUAUAAGAUAAAUUGACAGGAAUUGUCUGAGGGGAAUUGUCUGAAACCUCACCGCAGCUGGACUUGAUAUUGCUGUAUGUUGUUUCCCUGGUGUCGUCAAUGUUUUCUAUAAUGCGUAAUGCAAAGAACAUUUUAAAACCAAUUAAUGACAAGAAAGAUGAGAAAACACACAGACCAUUCGGCUAUAAAGUGCAAUUUCCAGUUUUUCAAAAUUGUUGUUGGACCUUCCUCUUCACUUUCUGCUGAAGAGUCUCUGCUGUCACUGGAAGACUCAGUUGGCUGUAGUGGCUGGCUUGGCCAAUGAUGUUGUUAUAUUAGUCUUACAUGGUGUUACUGGUCUUUCGUUUGGCAAAGGUGUUUCUAGAUACAUUUUGGCCCAAUAAGAUGUGACAUGAAACAGAUGUGACCUGAACUCUUAACAUUAAGGGUGUGGUUUGUCAGUGUUAAGACACUAUUCUCCAAAAGAAUACAUGAACUCACCACCGCUGUUUCCACUUCACUUUCUGAGGAACGAUUAGAAAGCGUUUCAUUGGUGCUUGACUUGGACUUGGUGGGAGUGGCAACAGCUGUUGGUUUGGCAGGGUUGAGCCUUGUUGUUGAGGUGGUAUUCUGAAGAGAGGAAAAUAAAUGACAAAUAAGGUCUGCUUGGUCGGACUGGUAUGCAUCAAUGAACUUAUAAUCUAUUCAUUCCCUUCUCCCUCCUAGUUCACCUGUGGAAGCAAACUCUGGCUUUCAUCGUCACUCUCUGAGCUGUUGGCAGUGUCGGAGCUCUCUGCCACUUUCCUGUUCAGGAAUGACGGAACGACCUCAGACAAGGCCUUGACCUUUGCAGCGGAAUCGUGAUUGUGUUGGGGUGUCAAAUGGGUUUUCUGUAAACACAGAGGUCACCAUCGUUUAGAACAGAGAGAAGAUCUAACUCAGUGUUUGGUAUGAAAUGA